CCUACGGGAGGCAGCAGUGGGGAAUAUUGGACAAUGGGGGGAACCCUGAUCCAGCCAUGCCGCGUGUGUGAAGAAGGCCCUCGGGUUGUAAAGCACUUUCAGUGAGGAAGAACGCCUGGUGGUUAAUACCCAUCAGGAAAGACAUCACUCACAGAAGAAGCACCGGCUAACUCCGUGUCAGCAGCCGCGGUAAUACGGAGGGUGCGAGCGUUAAUCGGAAUUACUGGGCGUAAAGCGCGCGUAGGUGGCUUGAUAAGCCGGUUGUGAAAGCCCCGGGCUCAACCUGGGAACGGCAUCCGGAACUGUCAAGCUAGAGUGCAGGAGAGGAAGGUAGAAUUCCCGGUGUAGCGGUGAAAUGCGUAGAGAUCGGGAGGAAUACCAGUGGCGAAGGCGGCCUUCUGGACUGACACUGACACUGAGGUGCGAAAGCGUGGGUAGCAAACAGGAUUAGAUACCCUGGUAGUC
rnacentral:rRNA from 1 species